rnacentral:piRNA from 1 species
UGGUCUUUUCACUGGGUAUGAUGGUCCCCU